rnacentral:rRNA from 1 species
CCUACGGGAGGCAGCAGUAGGGAAUUUUCGUCAAUGGGCGCAAGCCUGAACGCGCAAUGCCGCGUGAACGAGGAAGGUCUUCGGAUCGUAAAGUUCUGUUGAAGGGGAAAAAGAGCGGAGAGAGGAAAUGAACUCCGAUUGAUAUUACCCUUCGAGGAAGUCACGGCUAACUACGUGCCAGCAGCCGCGGUAAUACGUAGGUGGCGAGCGUUAUCCGGAAUGAUUGGGCGUAAAGGGUGCGUAGGCGGCCUGCUAAGUCUGGAGUGAAAGGUACCGGCUCAACCGGUACAGGCUCUGGAAACUGGCGGGCUAGAGAGCAGGAGAGGGCGGUGGAACUCCAUGUGUAGCGGUAAAAUGCGUAGAUAGAUGGAAGAACACCAGUGGCGAAGGCGGCCGCCUGGCCUGUUACGGACGCUGAGGCACGAAAGCGUGGGGAGCAAAUAGGAUUAGAUACCCGAGUAGUC